rnacentral:rRNA from 1 species
GUCUACAGUCAUACCACCCUGAAAGUGCCCGAUCUCUUCUCAUCUCAGAAGCUAAGCAGAUCCAGCCUGGUUAGUACUUGGAUGGGAAAAAUAUCCUUGUAACUAUAAUCU